GCAGUAGUAGUUCUGUGGUGGAAUUCUUGCCUUUCAUGCAGGAGACCCGAGUUUGAUUCCCAGCCAGUGCU
rnacentral:tRNA from 1 species